GUGCUUACUUCAGCAGGACAUAUACUAAAAUUGGAAUGAUACAGAGGGUAUUAGCAUGGCUCCUAUGUAAGGAUGACAUGCAAAUUCAUGAAUUAUUCCAUAUUCAA
ensembl:snRNA U6 U6 spliceosomal RNA